GCCAGGUAUGGUGGCACAUGCCUGUAAUCCCAGCAGCUUGGGAGGCUGAGGCAGGAGGAUCUUGAGUUCAAAACCAGCCUCAG
rnacentral:sRNA from 1 species